GUGUAAUCUGCUAGUUAAUUAAGUAACUGUACUAGUUAGACAACCUAUGUGGUGGUUCACGUUUAGUCCCUAACCAAAAAUUAGGCCAUGCCCAUAUUACUGUUCUUCUCCUUUCUAUUGUUAUUAGUCUGGCAUAUCCCUAUAUUUUUAUAUUAUCUACCACUUUACUCCCUGACAUAGUUGCAAACUAAUAAUUAACUAUGUGUCUGUUCUAC
rnacentral:rRNA from 1 species